rnacentral:misc_RNA from 1 species
GAGAGUGUCUUGGAGAAAGAUAGUGGAAACGUCGAAGCUCACAUUGGAAAGGGUAUAUGCCUGCAGAUGCAGAGCAUGGGAAGGGUUGCUUUUGAUAGUUUUGCUGAAGCGGUCAGGCUGGAUCCACAGAAUGUUUGUGCCCUUACACAUUGUGGUAUAUUGUACAAGGAUGAGGGUCGACUGGUAGAGGCUGCUGAGUCUUAUCACAAAGCUCUGAGAGCAGAUCCUUCAUACAAACCAGCUGCAGAAUGCCUAGCCAUUGUCUUAACUGAUCUUGGUACCAGCUUAAAGCUUUCUGGCAAUACACAGGAGGGAAUUCAG